rnacentral:rRNA from 1 species
CACGCCGUAAACGAUGAGCACUAGGUGUUGGGGUCGAAUGAUCUCAGUGCCGCAGUUAACGCAAUAAGUGCUCCGCCUGGGGAGUACGCUCGCAAGAGUAAAACUCAAAGGAAUUGACGGGGACCCGCACAAGCAGCGGAGCAUGUGGUUUAAUUCGAAGCAACGCGAAGAACCUUACCAGGACUUGACAUCCUACUGACAGGAUCUUAACCGGUCCCUUCUUCGGACAGUAGAGACAGGUGG